rnacentral:tRNA from 1 species
CGGGACGUAGCUCAGCUUGGUAGAGCACCUGGUUUGGGACUAGGGGGUCGCAGGUUCGAAUCCUGUCGUCCCGA